UACGUAGGUGGCAAGCGUUAAUCGGAAUUACUGGGCGUAAAGCGUGCGCAGGCGGUUCGUUGUGUCGGCGGUGAAAGCCCCGGGCUCAACCUGGGAAUGGCCGUUGAAACUGGCGAACUGGAGUGUGGCAGAGGGGGGUGGAAUUCCGCGUGUAGCAGUGAAAUGCGUAGAGAUGCGGAGGAACACCGAUGGCGAAGGCAGCCCCCUGGGCUGACACUGACGCUCAGGCACGAAAGCGUGGGGAGCAAACAGG
rnacentral:rRNA from 1 species